AGCCCAAGCCUGCUGACGUCCGGUUCCUCGAUCCAUACGACUUCACCAGCAGGCACGGGGGACCCACCGCCGGCCAGGCCGCUACAGGCUGAGCCUCGGGGUGAAGCCCGCCUCGUGCGGGCCGGGCGCCUCCCGCUCGAACCCGACAGCUAACCUCGCAGGCUCCCCAGGAGAGAACUG
rnacentral:sRNA from 2 species